rnacentral:rRNA from 1 species
UAGGGAAUCUUCCACAAUGGACGCAAGUCUGAUGGAGCAACGCCGCGUGAGUGAAGAAGGUCUUCGGAUCGUAAAAACUCUGUUGUUAGAGAAGAACACGAGUGAGAGUAACUGUUCAUUCGAUGACGGUAUCUAACCAGCAAGUCACGGCUAACUACGUGCCAA